AAGUUGCAAGAAAAAGUUUCAUUCUUUGAUUGAAAUCAGAGUUGUCUCUUUAAUUUCUCAAGUAUUUCAAAGAAGUCCAUUUUUGUAUCUUUGCUGUAGAAUGCACUUUGAUGGAAGAGUUGGCUUUUGAUUUUUAAAAAAAUGGUUCAAAUUAAUAGUUAUUUCUAUUUUGCAUCAAAUGGAUACAUUUUGUAUUUUACCCAAGUCUUCUCAGCCCACAUACUCUAUCAACAUUCUUUUAUAUAUUUUUUUCUAAUGCUGUUUCUGAUGGGUUAUUAUCUGAGAGUGGGUUGGUAGAGAUUCAAUUUAAUAGUUUCUUAACUCCAAAAAUAAUUUCUUUUCAAACUAAAAGAAAGUCCUACUUUGGUUGCUUUUAAGUUUGUUAUAUCAAGAUAUGCUUUUUCAACCCCUAGUUUUUUUAACCAAUAAUUAUCAACCUAGCUAAUUCUAUCACUAAUUUAUGAUUCUGAAAGGAAGAAAAUAAAAAAUGAAACAUCAAGACUGAGGGACAAAAGAUCAAGAGCUUAAUGGAAAAAAAUGUUUGCUGCCCAGCAGGGAACCCAAUUCAGCACUGAGUUCAGGCUCUGAGUUUCAGGGGAAGAGACCUAGGGUAGGUCCUUUAAAGCCAAACUGUCUCUGUCUCCUUUUAGGAAAACAACAUCUACAAUAGUUGCAGACUAGCUUCCAGUAUCUGGAUUUGUCAGUUGGGUAAAUGCUGGGUUGGUGGGUAGGUGGCUUCUGUUUCAAAGGUGUAGCACUCACCUAAGGACUGUGGUGUCCACCUGCCUCUACUGCAUGUGAGGUGGCCCAUUCAGGAUCCUGGCUCAAGUCAGAACUGUACCACUGUCAGUAAGUGGGUCCCAGGUAAUGGUUGAUCAGCUGUCUUAGAUGUUGGUUACUCUGAUGUAAAAGAAGAACAAUAUGUGGUCCAACAUAUUUUAAUGUUAUUGUUCACAUGAGGACCAUCCUUGGACCUAAUACUGCAGCAGCUAUUGUUAAAACUUUUUGUUCUUACCACAUGUCUCUGCCCAUCAGUUGCUCUGUCUAUUCGAGAGUGUUAAAUCCUGUUGGUAAGCCAAUAAAGAAAUACGUUAGUCACCACAUAGGUAAAAAGUUAGAAAUAGCCAAAACUGGAUCUGAUACUACGAUAGAGUAGAAUGGCAUCAAAGGAGAAUUUAACCAAAAAAAAAUUAAAAAAAAAAAUCAAGUAAGUGCCUUUGUAAAGAGGAGAGAGAAAGAAUUGCUUCAUUUAACUCCUUGCCUUCCACCAAGAAACUGCUUCACUUCCCUCUUCAAACUAGACUUGGCAUGACUGCCAGGCUCACUCUGAUCAAUCUUUUAUUCCCUUUUGAGGAAAAAAUAAAUUUUUAGCUUCUGAGCUUCUAACACCUAGCUUUUGGGUAUUUAAGGGCAAUUUAAGAAAUUCUUCAAAGAAAUGUUUUUAUCCUAAGAGCAAUUUUCCUGUUACCUGCUAGAAGCAAUAUUUGUAUUAAAUGCAACUGCCAGUUUUCAACGUUAAAAUGUCAUUUUUGAAGGUCCUUUCAUUGGUAUGAAUUUUCAAAAACAUUUCUAUUCCACCUUUUAAGGAAAUGUUUACAUGUUAAUUAAUGUUCAGUGGUAAUUUUAAUUGGGUUUCCCUUCAGGAAAUUUUUUUUUAAGAUUUUAUUUAUUUAUUUGAGAGAGAGAGAGAGAGAGCAUAAGUGGGGGAAAGGAAGAAGCAGGCUGCCCGCUGAGCAGAGAGCCCAACUCCAUCCCAGGACCCUGGGAUCAUGACCUAAGCUGAAGGUAGACCCUUACCCAACUGAGCCACCCAGGCGCCCCAUCCCUUUAGGAAAUUUCAAGAAAGGCUUAAACAUUUUGAUAUAUAAAGUGAUGCAGAAGGGACUGUAAGAAAAAAUACUGAAAGCAAAUUUCAAAAAGUAGAUUAAUGAGAAAGCAGGAAAAUAAGAGUUUGCAAAAAGAAGAUUUAGAAAAUGUAUCAAAAAAAAAAGUCAAGGGCGCCUGGGUGGCUCAGUUGGUUAAGCAACUGCCUUCGGCUCAGGUCAUGAUCCUGGAGUCUCAGGAUCGAGUCCCGCAUCGGACUCCCUGGUCGGCAGGGAGUCUGCUUCUCCUCUGCCCCUCCCCCUUCUCAUGUGCUCUCUCUCAUUCUCUCUCUCUCUCAAAUAAAUAAAUAAAAUCUUAAAAAAAAAAAAGUCAAAAUGCAGGAGAGAGGUCAGAAUUGGUGAUUGAUAAUCAAGACCAGCAAUAUUUCCUACUUCCACUGCCUCACUUUCCUUCAGCUUAGAUCUAAAGUGAUUCUGCUGAUCAGGAUUAAAACCAGAGAUGAAUGAGGACGACAAUGCAGACUCAGAGAAAUAGCUUAGGGAGCUAAGGAAAGUGAAAUGUAUGACCAGUUACAGAAGGUUACAGAAUUAUGUGGCAGAUUUCUCAAAAUUAGACUUUAUUAUUCUAAAAUAAGAUCCAAGUACAGUGGGCAUAAAUUGAGGUUAGGCAUCUUUUUUAUGGGAACUUCCUAAUUCUAUCCUUUGUAUAAUUUUGUUGUUGUUGGGAUAUGCAUCAUUAUUUACUUACUUAUUGAUUUAUAAAGACUUUUGUCUAUUAAGGAAUUAAACCUUUGUCUUUCAUACUAUUUAUGUAAAGCAGACUUAAAUGUUUAUCUUAGAAUCCUAACAAAAAGGGGGAAAUAGGGGUACAACUCAAGAUUCUAUUAUAAAAGAGAAAGACCUUAUUGUUAACAAUAGAAGCUUGUUUCCAGUUUCUGCAAUCUUCUGUUUUCUUCAUUAAGAAUAAACUUUAAACCGAGUUUUUUCUUGCAACUCUGUGAAGUUUGGAAUUAAAACAAUUAAUUAAAUGGAUUUAAAAUUAAAGAAAAUUUUGUUCUUAAUUGAAAAUCAAUUGGCUUUGGAUAGAUCAGAAACUAAAUGGUAAUGGGAUACAAUCAAAGUAAAUUUAGAUGAUAAAACUUGUGUCUUCCCUUUCAGUUGGAUAAAGAAAACAUUAAGUGAAGGUAUGCAUGGAAAAUACUAUGUGGUUAUAAAAUACCAACAGUGAAGUCUUAAAUUAAACUACAACUGAAACCAUGUAUUUUCAGAAGCACACUUCAUAGCUUCUCUCCUUGUCUGUAUCGCUUCAUUAAAUCAGCACAAAAAAACUUCAAAAUACCAUGGGAAGUAAUUUAAUAAGAAUUACUUAAUGUUCCUGAUCCAAUUUUUCUGCAGGUAGCUAAUAAAAAGGUGAAUGUGAGAGCAUUCAAGAUUUUAUCCAGUUCCAUGGUUUUAAGUACCAUCUAUAAACUGAGUUCUCCCAACUCUCCAUUUUCAACCUUGACAUCUCCACUGAAAUCCAGCCACAUAUACAACUGAAUUGUUGCAAGUUACCAACAAGCCCAUAUAUUAAUUUAUCACUAUAGAUAAAACCAUGUAUUUGACACAUCAUUAAUUAGGUAUCCUUAUCCGUCUUUUUUCUUCACAUCCCACAUCCAAUCCAUUAGCAAAUCUUGUGUUUGUCUCUCCUAAACAUAGUUUUAGGUCUGAUUGUUUCUCACCAUUGGCUCACUACUGAAGCCCUAGUCCAUAUCGCCAUCCUCAUCCUUCUGCCUUACCUACUCCCACUCUUGCUUCUCUAUAGUCUGUUCCCCACAUAACUCCUUAGUAAUUGUCUUAAAGCUUACAUCAGAUCAGAUCACUUUCUAACAUCAAACUAUUUAAUGGCUUCCUUUAUCAACAGUAGUAAAUUCAAACUCAAAACUUUUUGCCAUAAGCUCACCUCCCCAAUGUCAUUUCCUAUUAUUACUCCAGCCUCCAUGGUGGCCUUUUUCCUGCCUUGGGGCUUUUGCAUUUCCUGUUCUCCCUAGCAUACUUUCCCCACACUUUCAUAUGCCUCAGUUCAGCUUAAAUGUCACCUCCUUACUCCUAGUAACUCUUUUGGCCCCCUUUAUUUUCUACAUAGCACUUAUUAUCUGAAAUUAUAUUACUAAUUAUGAGUUCAUUGCCUGUUUCUCCCUAAGAGAAAGAAAGCAGGAAGGGCAGGUACCUGGGUGGCUCAGUUGGUUGGGUGACUGCCUUCAGCUCGGGUCAUGAUCCCGGAGUCCUGGAAUCGGGUCCUGCAUCGGGCUCCCUGCUCAGCGGGGAGUCUGCUUCUCCCUCUGACCCUCUCCCCUCUCAUGUGCUCUCUCUCUCUCUGUCAUUCUCUCUCUCAAAUAAAUAAAUAAAAUCUUAAAAAAAAAAAAGAAAGCAGGAAGAGCCCAUGAUGAUCAUAUAGUUCAACUUCCUUGCAUAGUGUAAGAAGAAACUGAAGCCCACAGAAGCUAGAUGUUUUGCCAGUGUACUUCCAGUUAGUUAGGGGUGAAGCCAGAAAGGAAAAUGAAUUCUUCUGAGACAACAGUAGAGCAGAAUUCUUCCUGUUCUAUUUCUCUAAGUUGCACUUCAUCAAUGUUUGUUUAAUCCAAUUAUCCUUCCUUCCUCAAGAUAUCCAGUGGAGGGGAGAGAGCUCAACCUUCUCACCACAGACCUGCAGUUUUACCUACCAUAGCUUUAUAAUUGAGCUCUUGUUUGUUUAGGUGCCUUUAUGGAUGGCAGGUGGAAAUGCCCAGGGGAAGUUCUAAUGUACCUCAGUUGAAGCUGGCUCCUAUUUGGGCAAGUUAUGAGAGAUCUGAGAGCCUACAGCAGUUUUCAAGGCUGGGAAUCCCAAAGGUGAAAGUGCUGUCUUUAUAAUUGAGAAGCUCACGUAAACCCCAAGGGUCAACACAAUUAACUGCCUUUAAACCAAGGAACUCUCAAGCCAUUAAUGCCAGUAAUGAGAAUGAAAAGCCCAUACCUGUGUUGGGAAAACUGGACAGCAACAUGCAGAAGAAUGAAACUGGACCACUUUCUUACACCAUACACAAAAAUAAACUCAAAAUGGAUGGAAGACCUAAAUGUGAGCCAGGAAUCCAUCAAAAUCCUAGAGAACACACCUCUUUGACCUCUGCUAUAGCAGCUUCUUACUAGACACAUCUCCAGAGGCAAGGGAAACAAAAGCAAAAAUGAACUAUUGGGACUACAUCAAGAUAAAAAUCUUCUGCACAGCAAAGGAAACAAUCAGCAACACGAAAAGCAACUUAUGGAAUGGGAGAAGAUUUUUGCAGAUGACAUAUCUGAUAAAGGGUUAGUAUCCAAAAUCUAUAAAGAACUCAAACUCAACACUCAAAAAACAAAUAAUCCAAUUAAGAAAUGGGCAGAAGACAUGAACAGACAUUUAUCCAAAGAAAACAUCCAGAUGCUCAAUAUCACUCAUCAUCAGGGAAAUGCAAAUCAAAACCACAAUGAGUUAUCACAUCACACCUGUCAGAAUGGCUAAAAUUAACAACUCAGGAAACACCAGAUGUUGGCAAAGAUAUAGAGAAAGGGAAACCUCUUACACUGUUGGAGGGAAUGCAAACUGGUGCAGCCACUCUGGAAAACAGUAUGAAGGUUCCUCAAAAAGUUAAAGUUAGAACUACGACCCAGCAAUUGCACUACUAGGUAUUUACCCAAAGGAUACAAAAAUACAGAUUUGAAGGGGCACAUGCACCCCGAUGUUUAUAGAAGCAUUAUCAACAAUAGCCAUACUAUGGAAAGAGCCCAAAUUCCAUUGGCUGAUGAAUGGUUAAAGACUAUAGGAAUAAUACUCAGCCAUAUUACUCAGCCACCAAAAAGAAUGAAAUCUUGCCAUUUGCAAAAACAUGGAUGAAAUUAGAGUACAUUAUGCUAAGCGAAAUUAGUCAGAGAAAGACAAAUACCAUGUGAUAUCACUCAUAUGUGGAAUUUAAGAGACAAAACAAAUGAAUACCGGGGAAGAGAAGGAAAAAAUCAAAUAAGAUAAAAACAGAGAGGGAGACAAACCAUAAGAGGCUCUUAACUAUAGAGAACAACCUGAGGGUUGAUGGAGGGGAGGAAGAUGGGGGGAUGGGCUAAAUGCGUGAUGGGCAUUAAGGAGGGCACUUGUUAGGAUGAGCGCUGGGUGUUAUAUAUAGGUGAUGAAACACUAAAUUCUACUCCUGAAACCAAAACUACAUUAUAUAUGAAUCAACUUGAAUUCAAAUAAAAAAAUACCUUGCUGUAAUGGCAAAAAGACCUAAUAUCUACAUAAAAAUAAACUUCUUACUGUAUUAUAACAUUUUACCAGGACAACAUAGGUUUCCUCAUUUCUUAUAGCUCACGGUUCUAUGACUGUUCUUUUGAAACUCUGACUUUAGAAUUAACAGCUCUUUAACUACACAUACCUCUGUCUGCAUGAUUAACUAUAUCAGGAAACAAAAUCAUUUAUUUUUUUUAAAGUUAUUUAAAAAGUUUUCCAUAAUUGAUAUGCUCUGGAGAAAAACCUCAUUGACCUGGGAUCCAAUCACUUUGAUUUGCCCUUCUCUUACUUAGACACUUUCUUGGCUUAUAAGCGUAGUAUAAAUUGCUCUUAGACCUUAUCACAAAGAUAAAAUUACAUGAUUCUCAAAGCUGAUAACUUUUACCCAUUUUCUUUGGACUCCUGGAAGCACAGAACUUAUCAAUAGCCCAUCUCUAACAACUAGAGCAAGCCAUUUAACAGGAUUCUUUUGUACUAACCUUUAGCUUUAAGCCAUUUUUCUUCCCUGAAUUCUUCUUAUCAAUUUCUUCAUUUAUUUUAUUUUGCUGUGGAUAUCUUAUUGGAACAAAUUCUUUAAAAGAUUAAUAUUGAAAUAGAUUGUGAUAAACAUUUCCUCAUCAUUUAAAAACAGGGCUAUCUUCCUUGCAGGGUUUAUAAACUAUAUGUUAAUACUUGGUGGGAACCAUGAGAAAAUAGAGGAAUGGCAAAAUAAAUUUUAUUACAUAAUAAAUAAUCCAAAAAUUUCAUCCAUAGAAUAAGAUGGAAGAUGGGAAGAAAAGGUCUCCUUCCCAGUAAGUUCCCUAAUCCCACUCCCAGGAAGCAAUAACUGUUCAUUAUUUCUAAUUUAUCUUUCCAGAAUUUAUCUAUGUAUUUAAAAAAUGUAUGCAUACAAAUAUUUUAAUAACAUAAAUGGGAUCAUACCAUACCUACUGUAACAUGUUUUUUACAUUUAUGAACAUCUUUCCAAAUUCAGAUCUAUUCUCCUAUAUCACUUUUAAGAAAGUUACUUAAUCUUUUGUGGUAUAGAUAUAGUAUAAUGUAUUUAAGAAAUUCCCAUUCAUAGAUUCCAGGUGUUUAUUUUUCAAACAAUGUUGUAGUGAGUAUCACUGCACAUAACUUGCUAUUCCAAUUCUGCAGUUACAGAAUUCUGUAUUAAAAUUUGGUUUAUAGUGAGGUUCUGUAUUAAUAGCAUGAAGUAAAAUAAAGGAGGCUUUAGUCUGGAAAACACAAAUGGUAAACUUAUAAUCAGGGGGAAAAAUCCAUUUUUCUCUUCUUUUAACUUUUAUAUUUAAUAUAAGUAACAACAGUGACUCUCAAAUUAGAAAAGGUAAUAAUAAAAUAACACUUAAAAAAGAAGUCAAAUUUGUUCACUUUUUAUUGGUUCUAAUUUUACUUGGUGAAUUGGUGACAUUUUCAUAAGUGUCAGAAACUGGAUAUAAAGUACAAGGUUGAAAGCUAUGGUCAGGCUUUGUGGUUUAUAGGUUCUUGGCCCUUAUUCUUCAGACUGUUAACACUGAAACUGCAUGUCACCCUUUAGUUUGAUAAUAAACUUAGAUCAAUCUUGAUUUCAAGUUUCUGUAUGGAGUUUAUAAGUAUAAUAAUUGAAAAACAGAACAGAAUCACUCCAGUAAUUUAGUUAAGCCUUCUUAAGUGAUAGACAGGACUUUAUAUUGCUAGAUGGUUCUCUUAAGUUAACGCAUAAGAACUCUAGAGGUGUCAGUUCAAAGCAAACAAGAUGAUUUAAACCCCAACCUCUCCUUAGAGAAAGCCCUAAAGCUUCCAUUGGUAUAGUGCUGUGGUCUUUCAACUGGAGUCCUUUGCACAGGCAUGUGAAUCAAUUACCUGACCCCCAAUAUAAUCUUUCCUAAAACUGAUCUGCCUUAGAAUGAGUCAUCUUUCAGGUACUGUUUCUCACCAAACACUUCCCUCUCUCCCCUUUCUUAGUCACAUAGUUUUUAGUUUACCAAAGAAAGUUAUUUACCUCUCACCUCUUGCUAUGGUGCAUUGCCCUAAAUUAUAAAAAACCAGUGGAAUGCCAAAAAACAAAAACAAAAGGCAAUGUAGAAUUUUGGUAUUUUUAUUGGUCAAGUGAUUUCCAAUUAUUUGAAGAAAACUGAAGGAAGCAUAUCAGAAUUGUCAACUUAGAUUUAUUAGAAAUAAUUUAGAUCCCCACUGGUUUAUUUAUUAUUUAUUUAUUUUAAGAUUUCAUUUAUUUAUUUGUCAGAGAGAGAGAGAAAGCAUGAGAGAACACAAGCAAGGGGAGCUGCAGGCAGAGGGAGAAGCGGGCUCCCUGCUGAGCAAGAAGCCCGAUGUGGAUCCCAGGAUCCCAGGACCCUGAGAUCAUGACUUGAGCUGAACAUUAGAUGCCUAACCUACUGAAUCACCCAGGUGUCCCCCCACUGGUUUAUUUUUGAUAACAUUAAAACUACAAAAAAAAAAAAAAACAGGAAUAGAAUU